rnacentral:rRNA from 1 species
UGUAGUCCAAACUAUAAACUAUGCGGAUUGAGGAUUGGGAUUGUUUGUAUUGGCCUCGCGGCCAUUAUAUUUGACGAUGUCAGGACUCCAAGAGAAAUCUUUGAGUAUUUGCGUUCCAGGGGGAGUACGAUCGCAAGAUUGAAACUUGAAGGAAUUGACGGAAGGGCACCCAAGAGGUGGAGCUUGCGGCUUAAUUCAACUCAACACGGGAAAACUUACCAGCGCAAAACAAAUAUAGGAUUGACAGAUUGAGAGCUCUUUCUUGAUUAUUUGAGUGGUGGUGCAUGGCCGUUUCUAGUUGGUGGAGUGAUUUGUCUGCUUAAUUGCGAUAACGAACGAGACCUUUGCGGGGGGUUGGGGACAGUUUCCGUAGUUAUACGGAAGGAUGUUCCGUUCUACCCGGAUUAUUGUCGUUACAAGAUAAAUGAAACGAAAGGCUACAACAGGUCUCUAUGCCCUUAGAUGUGCUGGGCCGCACGCGCGCUACAAUGAAAGGGAUCAGGAAGUAAUCGACCUUUUUUGAUAAAAAUGGGAAAUCUUUUAAAUCCUUUCGUGGUUUGGGAUUAAUUAUUGCAAUUAUUAAUUAUGAACAUGGAAUCUCUAGUAAGGGUAGGUCAUCAGCCUAACCUGACUACGUCCCUGCCUUUUGUACACACCGCCCGUCGCUCCUACCGAUGGAUGAGGAUGACAAGGGGAGGGAAUUUUGGUGAGGAAAUUUUUUCCGAAACAAGAUGAACUCUUCUGAUUGGACUUAUCUAGAGGAAGGAGAAGUCGUAACAAGGUAUCUGUAGGUGAACCUGCAGAAGGAUCA